GUGGGGAAUAUUGGACAAUGGGCGGAAGCCUGAUCCAGCCAUGCCGCGUGUGUGAAGAAGGCCUUUUGGUUGUAAAGCACUUUAAGCGAGGAGGAGGCUCCUUUAGUUAAUACCUAAAGUGAGUGGACGUUACUCGCAGAAUAAGCACCGGCUAACUCUGUGCCAGCAGCCGCGGUAAUACAGAGGGUGCGAGCGUUAAUCGGAUUUACUGGGCGUAAAGUGUGCGUAGGCGGCUUUUUAAGUCGGAUGUGAAAUCCCUGAGCUUAACUUAGGAAUUGCAUUCGAUACUGGAAAGCUAGAGUAUGGGAGAGGAUGGUAGAAUUCCAGGUGGAGCGGUGAAAUGCGUAGAGAUCUGGAGGAAUACCGAUGGCGAAGGCAGCCAUCUGGCCUAAUACUGACGCUGAGGUACGAAAGCAUGGGGAGCAAACAGGAUUAGAAACCCCUGUAGUCC
rnacentral:rRNA from 1 species